rnacentral:rRNA from 1 species
CGUGUAGGUGGUACGGUAAGUCAGAUGUGAAAGCCCUCGGCUCAACCGAGGAAGUGCAUUUGAAACUGCCGAACUAGAGUACGGGAGAGGGUUGUAGAAUUCCCGGUGUAGAGGUGAAAUUCGUAGAUAUCGGGAGGAAUACCGGUGGCGAAGGCGGCAGCCUGGACCGAUACUGACACUGAGACGCGAAAGCGUGGGGAGCAAACA